rnacentral:misc_RNA from 1 species
GAUGAAGAACGUAGCGAAAUGCGAUACUUGGUGUGAAUUGCAGAAUCCCGUGAACCAUCGAGUCUUUGAACGCAAGUUGCGCCCGAAGCCAUCAGGUUGAGGGCACGUCUGCCUGGGCGUCACAUAUCGUUGCCCAAUGCCUAUUGCAGUGCAAUAGGAAUUUCUAGGGCGAAUGAUGGCUUCCCGUGAGCGUUGUUGCCUCGCGGUUGGUUGAAAAUCGAGUCCUUGGUAGGGUGUGCCAUGGUAGAUGGUGGUCGAGUUAGAACGAUACCGAUCAUGUGCAUGCUCCCCAAAAUAUGGCCUGUAUGACCCACACGCGUCUUUUGACGCUCAUGACGAGACCUCAGGUCAGGCGGGGCUACCCGCUGAAUUUAAGCAUAUCAAUAAGCGGAGGA